UACGGGGGGGCAAGCGUUGUUCGGAAUUACUGGGCGUAAAGGGCUCGUAGGCGGCCAACUAAGUCAUACGUGAAAUCCCUCGGCUUAACCGGGGAACUGCGUCUGAUACUGGAUGGCUUGAGUUCGGGAGAGGGAUGCGGAAUUCCAGGUGUAGCGGUGAAAUGCGUAGAUAUUGGGGAGAACAUCAGUAGCGAAGGCGCUUUCUGGGUCACACCUGACGCUGAGGUACGAAAGCGUGGGGAGCAAACGGG
rnacentral:rRNA from 1 species